rnacentral:lncRNA from 1 species
UUCUGAGAAUGUGUUGUAAUUGUUUCCUUGUUGUAAUGUUACCUUUCCACUUAAAAUGGAAGGAAAUAAUAUGAACACUUCUCAAAACCAGGGAGCCUACAAACUUCACUGUAUCUUCAACUAGAAAUAAAUAGAGAGGGUAAGAAGAAUCUACAUCAUGAACUGAAGACACAAUCUGGAGGAAAUGAUAGAGAUGGAGAAGGACCAGCUAUAAAUAUCAGAAGGUUCACACCAGAACAGUGAGGAAAAGGCAGAUGUGGUUGUAGAGCAUGUCCAGCAAGCUGCCUGAGAUGAAGAGCUCCUCUGAGGCUGCUCCUGAGCUGCUCCUGGGUCAGUUCACUCUGCCAGCCUCAUGUUCACUGCUGUGUGCAGAGGUUCAGGUGCUCUUUCCUCUCUGCUCCACGGAGAUCUCUUCCCAGCAGGAAGCCUGAGCAGGUGGGUGAGGGAUCAGACUGGCC